UACAGAGGGGGCAAGCGUUGUUCGGAAUUACUGGGCGUAAAGGGCGCGUAGGCGGCCUUCUAAGUCGAACGUGAAAUCCCCGGGCUCAACCCGGGAACUGCGUCCGAUACUGGAAGGCUUGAAUCCGGGAGAGGGAUGUGGAAUUCCAGGUGUAGCGGUGAAAUGCGUAGAUAUCUGGAGGAAUACCGGUGGCGAAGGCGGCAUCCUGGACCGAGAUUGACACUGAUGAGCGAAAGCUAGGGGAGCAAACGGG
rnacentral:rRNA from 1 species